AGAGUUUGAUCCUGGCUCAGGACGAACGCUGGCGGUGUGCUUCACACAUGCAAGUCGAGCGAAUGAAGUAGGUAGCUUGCUACUUAUGGAUUUAGCGGCGGACGGGUGAGUAAUAUAUAGGAAUCUGCCUUAGAGCGGGGAACAACAGACCGAAAGGUUUGCUAAUGCCCCAUAGGUAUGCAGUCUUCGGAUUGUAUAUUAAAGGAGUAAUCCACUCUAAGAUGAGCCUGUAUCCGAUUAGCUAGUUGGCGGGGUAAAGGCCCACCAAGGCUACGAUCGGUAGUUGGUCUGAGAGGAUGAUCAGCCACAAUGGGACUGAGACACGGCCCAUACUCCUACGGGAGGCAGCAGUGGGGAAUUUUACACAAUGGGGGAAACCCUGAUGUAGCGACACCGCGUGAACGAAGAAGCCUUUUGGGGUGUAAAGUUCUGUCGGCUGGAACGAAAAAAAUGACGGUACCAGCAAAGGAAGCAUCGGCUAACUACGUGCCAGCAGCCGCGGUAAGACGUAGGAUGCGAGCGUUGUCCGGAUUUAUUGGGCGUAAAGAGUUCGUAGGCGGUUAUUUAAGUCUGAUGUUAAAUACUGUGGCCCAACCACAGAACUGCAUUGGAUACUGGAUGACUUGAGUGCGGUAGAGGCAAGUGGAAUUCCCAGUGUAGCGGUGAAAUGCGUAGA
rnacentral:rRNA from 1 species